rnacentral:rRNA from 1 species
GAUGAACGCUAGCUACAGGCUUAACACAUGCAAGUCGAGGGGAAACGAUAUUGGAAGCUUGCUUCCGAUAGGCGUCGACCGGCGCACGGGUGAGUAACGCGUAUCCAACCUGCCCAUCACUUGGGGAUAACCUUGCGAAAGUAAGACUAAUACCAAAUGACGUCUCUAGAAGACAUCUGAAGGAGAUUAAAUAUUUAUCGUUUAUGGAUGGGGAUGCGUCUGAUUAGCUUGUUGGCGGGGUAACGGUCCACCAAGGCGACGAUCAGUAGGGGUUCUGAGAGGAAGGUCCCCUACAUUGGAACUGAGACACGGUCCAAACUCCUACGGGAGGCAGCAGUGAGGAAUAUUGGUCAAUGGGCGAGAGUCUGAACCAGCCAAGUAGCGUGCAGGAUGACGGCCCUAUGGGUUGUAAACUGCUUUUAUAAGGGAAUAAAGUGAGUCUCGUGAGACUUUUUGCAUGUACCUUAUGAAUAAGGACCGGCUAAUUCCGUGCCAGCCGCCGCAGUAA